UACGAAGGGGGCUAGCGUUGUUCGGAAUUACUGGGCGUAAAGCGCGCGCAGGCGGUCUUCCAAGUCAGUGGUGAAAGCCCGGAGCUCAACUCCGGAACUGCCAUUGAAACUGUUAGACUUGAGGAUGAGAGAGGUGAGUGGAAUUCCCAGUGUAGAGGUGAAAUGCGUAGAGAUCGGAAGGAACACCAGUGGCGAAGGCGGCUACCUGGCCUAAUACUGACACUGAGGCACGAAAGCGUGGGGAGCAAACAGG
rnacentral:rRNA from 1 species